rfam:Loktanella soesokkakensis strain CECT 8367 genome assembly, contig: 0004
ACACCCGAUCCCAUUCCGAACUCGGCCGUUAAGUGCCGUCGCGCUGAUGGUACUGCGUCUCAAGACGUGGGAGAGUAAGUCACCGCCAGAC